UACGUAGGGGGCAAGCGUUAUCCGGAUUUACUGGGUGUAAAGGGAGCGUAGACGGUUAAUCAAGUCAGAAGUGAAAACCCAGGGCUCAACCUUGGGACUGCUUUUGAAACUGAGUAGCUAGAGUGCAGGAGAGGUAAGCGGAAUUCCUAGUGUAGCGGUGAAAUGCGUAGAUAUUAGGAGGAACACCAGUGGCGAAGGCGGCUUACUGGACUGUAACUGACGUUGAGGCUCGAAAGCGUGGGUAGCAAACAGG
rnacentral:rRNA from 1 species